CCCAGGGGCAGUGGGUGGCACCAAGGGGCAGUGGGGUGGCACCCAGGGAUGGGAGGGUGGCACUGAGGGACAGUGGGUGGUACCCAGGGACAGGGGGGUGGCACUGAGUGUGUCCCCAGAGAGUGUCACUGUGUGUCCCCAGGGAAUGUCCCUCUGUGUCCCCAGGGAAUGUCCCUCUGUGUCCCCAGGGAUGUCCCUCUGUGUCCCCAAGGACUGUCCCUCUGUCCCCAGGGAUGUCCCUCCGUGUGUCCCCAAGGACUGUCCCUCUGUCCCCAGGGACUGUGACAUGUGGCUGUCCCUCUGUCCCAAGGAUGUCCCUCUGUCCCCAAGGAUGUCCCUCUGUCCCCAGGGACUGUGACGUGUGGCUGUCCCUCUGUCCCCAAGGAUGUCCCUCUGUCCCCAAGGAUGUCCCUCUGUCCCCAGGGACUGUGACGUGUGGCUGUCCCUCUGUCCCCAUGGCUGUCCCUCUGUCCCCAUGGAUGUCCCUCUGUCCCAUGGAUGUCCCUCUGUCCCCAGGGACUGUGACGUGUGGCUGUCCCUCUGUCCCCAUGGAUGUCCCUGUGUCCCCAUGGCUGUCCCUCUGUCCCCAUGGAUGUCCCUCUGUCCCCAAGGAUGUCCCUCUGUCCCCAUGGAUGUCCCUCUGUCCCCAUGGAUGUCCCUCUGUCCCAGGGAUGUCCCUCUGUCCCCAUGGAUGUCCCUCUGUCCCAUGGAUGUCCCUCUGUCCCCAGGGACUGUGACGUGUGGCUGUCCCUCUGUCCCAGGGAUGUCCCUCUGUCCCCAUGGAUGUCCCUCUGUCCCCAGGGACUGUGACGUGUGGCUGUCCCUCUGUCCCAUGGAUGUCCCUCUGUCCCCAGGGACUGUGACGUGUGGCUGUCCCUCUGUCCCCAAGGAUGUCCCUCUGUCCCCAGGGACUGUGACGUGUGGCUGUCCCUCGGGGGUUUCCACGAGCGUGGCCAGGACUGGGACAGCACCGGCCGCAUCUACAACAGCCACGUGCUGCUGGACAGCUCGGGCGCUCUGGUGGCCGCCUACCGCAAGCUGCACCUGUUUGACGCGGCGCUGCCGGGGGCGCCGGCGCUGCGCGAGAGCUCCUUCACCAACCCGGGCCGGGAGCUGCUGCCCCCCGUCGACACCCCCGUGGGCAAGGUGAUGUCCCCAAGUGUCCCCAAGUGUCCCCAGAAGUGUCCCCAAGUGUCCCCUGCCUUGGCUGAUCCCCGGGGUUCCCAAAAAAUACCCCUCGGGCUGGCCGUGUGCCGCAGCCCGCGAGCCCUAAGCCCCAGCCCUGACCCCGCAGUGCCCAGGGGUGUCCCCAAGUGUCCCCAAAGGUCUCCAAGUGUCCCCAAGUGUCCCCAAGUGUCCCCUGCCCUCGGUGACCUGCGGUAUUCCCCAAAAACAGCCGGGAUUGGCCGUGUGCUGCAGGCUGUGGGUCCUGGAGCUGGCCCUGUCCUAGAUCCUAACCCCAGCCCUGACCCCACAGUGCCCAGGGGUGUCCCCAAGUGUCACCAAAUGUCCCCAAAGGUCCCCAAGUGUCCCCAUAUGUCCCCAAGUGUCCCCAAAGGUCCCCAAGUGUCCCCAAGUGUCCCCUGCCCUCGGUGACCUGCGGUAUUCCCAAAAAACAGCCGGGAUUGGCCGUGUGCUGCCGGCUGUGGGUCCUGACCCCUGAUCCUCCCCAUGUCCCCGGGGUGUCCCCAAUGUCCCCAGGGUGUCCUCGGGGUGUCCCCAAAUGUCCCCAUGUGUCCCCAAAAGUGUCCCCAAGUGUCCCCUGCCCUCGGUGACCCGCGGUAUUCCCAAAAAACAGCCGGGAUUGGCCGUGUGCUGCCGGCUGUGGGUCCUGACCCCUCAUCCUCCCCAUGUCCCCGGGGUGUCCCCAGGGUGUCCCCAGGGUGUCCCCAAUGUCCCCAAUGUCCCCAAGUGUCCCCGGGGUGUCCCCAAUGUCCCCAAUGUCCCUCAAUGUCCCCCAUGUCCCCAAUGUCCCCCAUGUCCCCCAUGUCCCCAAUGUCCCCAAUGUCCCCAAUGUCCCCAAUCUCCCCAAUGUCCCCAGUGUCCCCAAUG
ensembl:lncRNA